ACGUAGGGGGCGAGCGUUAUCCGGAUUUACUGGGCGUAAAGCGCGUUAAGGCGGUUGGCAAAGUUGGUGGUGAAAUUUCAGGGCUCAACCCUGAAACUGCCUCCAAUACUGGUCGACUUGAGUGUGAGAGAGGAAGGUGGAAUUCCCGGUGUAGUAGUGAAAUGCGUAGAUAUCGGGAGGAACACCAGUGGCGAAGGCGGCCUUCUGGCUCACAACUGACGCUGUAGCGCGAAAGCGUGGGGAGCGAACGGGAUUAGAUACCCCGGUAGUCCACGCUGUAAACGAUGUGCACUAGGUGUUGGGCGUAUUGACGCGCUCAGUGCCGCAGCUAACGCAUUAAGUGCACCGCCUGGGGAGUACGGCCGCAAGGUUA
rnacentral:rRNA from 1 species